AAUCUACCCAGUAGUGGGGGACAACUAGUGGAAACGCUAGCUAAUACCGCAUACGCCCUACGGGGGAAAGCGGGGGACCUUCGGGCCUCGUGCUAUUGGAUGAGCCUGCGUAAGAUUAGCUUGUUGGUGAGGUAAUGGCUCACCAAGGCGACGAUCUUUAGCUGGUCUGAGAGGAUGAUCAGCCACACCGGGACUGAGACACGGCCCGGACUCCUACGGGAGGCAGCAGUCGGGAAUAUUGCGCAAUGGGGGAAACCCUGACGCAGCCAUGCCGCGUGUGUGAAGAAGGCCCUAGGGUUGUAAAGCACUUUCAAUUGGGAGGAAAAGCUAAUGGUUAAUAACCAUUAGCCCUGACGUUACCUUUAGAAGAAGCACCGGCUAACUCCGUGCCAGCAGGCGCGGUAAUACGGAGGGUGCAAGCGU
rnacentral:rRNA from 1 species